rnacentral:lncRNA from 1 species
CUAGGUUAAGGUCCCUUAAUACUAACUUAAGGGAUCAGCGUUUCCGCUAUUGCCUAUUUCCGUUAUGGUUCUGAUAGACCGACAUAGCUAAUGUUGAAGGAGAAAUCGAACAGCUCAGAUCAACAAAAAGUCCUCGUACCACGGUGUAGUGGAGUUUCAGAGGUUCAAAAAUGGGUAACAAGGAGUUGUAAGGCAAGUAUACAGAGGGAUUAGUCGCCUAGCACGCAAAAAAAGGGGGAAUGGAAAGUCUGACCUACGAGCUGGAGGGAAACGUCUCGCCAGCGACACCGCCCCACACCGGGCCGGGAAGGCCGGGGGAGGAGAGACGGACGCAAGGCCGAGGCGUGCGCAUCUUCACAGAGGAAUUAAACCCUGCAAAGAAAUGAACUCCUGGCAUUCCGAUAUAACAGUCAAACUCGUUUCCAUAGAUAAAAAAAAAAAAAGGGUGCGGGUCCCACCACCAUGGCGUGGGCCCGCCGACGAGGAAGAAGCAAACCGGGGCGGCCAAGGGACUGCCG